rnacentral:snRNA from 1 species
AUACUUACCUGGACGGGGUGGACGGCCGAUCAAGAAGGGCCGUGGCCUAGAUCAAUGGCUUACAUUGCACUUGGUGAGCGCGUUGGUUCGUCAUAACUUGUUAUAGAGGGGGGUACGCGUUCGCGCGGCCCCUGC